rnacentral:rRNA from 1 species
UACGAAGGGGGCUAGCGUUGCUCGGAAUCACUGGGCGUAAAGCGUGCGUAGGCGGCGAUGCAAGACAGAUGUGAAAUCCCCGGGCUUAACCUGGGAACUGCAUUUGUGACUGCAUGGCUAGAGUGUGUCAGAGGGAGGUGGAAUUCCGCGUGUAGCAGUGAAAUGCGUAGAGAUGCGGAGGAACACCGAUGGCGAAGGCAGCCCCCUGGGCCAACACUGACGCUCAGGCACGAAAGCGUGGGGAGCAAACAGG